UGAUAAAAAUUUCUUCCAAUUCUAUUAUUAAAAACUAGUAUAGAUCACGGAAUAAUUAGAUAAUUAUACAUGGCAUAUCAUAUGUAGCUCAUGUUGAUGUAUAGAGAUCAGUUUUUAAUCAUAAAAAUUGAUGAAAACUUUAAUA
rfam:Gossypium arboreum cultivar AKA8401 contig_18773_1, whole genome shotgun sequence.